GAUGAACGCUAGCGGGAGGCCUAACACAUGCAAGCCGAGCGGUAUUGUUUCUUCGGAAAUGAGAGAGCGGCGUACGGGUGCGUAACACGUGUGCAACCUGCCUUUAUCUGGGGGAUAGCCUUUCGAAAGGAAGAUUAAUACUCCAUAAUAUAUUGAACGGCAUCGUUUAAUAUUGAAAGCUCCGGCGGAUAGAGAUGGGCACGCGCAAGAUUAGCUAGUUGGUGAGGUAACGGCUCACAAAGGCGAUGAUCUUUAGGGGGCCUGAGAGGGUGAGCCCCCACACUGGUACUGAGACACGGACCAGACUCCUACGGGAGGCAGCAGUGAGGAAUAUUGGUCAAUGGGUGCAAGCCUGAACCAGCCAUCCCGCGUGAAGGACGACUGCCCUAUGGGUUGUAAACUUCUUUUGUAUAGGGAUAAACCUACCCUCGUGAGGGUAGCUGAAGGUACUAUACGAAUAAGCACCGGCUAACUCCGUGCCAGCCGCCGCAGUAA
rnacentral:rRNA from 1 species